GAGGGACGGGGGAUGCCUCGGGCUGAUGAGGGAGAGCCGCCAGGUGGUAUGGAGUUGCAUUCACCUUGCCAAGGACCUGCAGGUGAGCAGCUUCAUAAAUGGGGAGGGCAGAGCGAGUCUCCAAAAGACGCACAGGAGAGGCCCCGGAGGGAGUCUGCUGUAGACGCCUGCCCAGUCCACAGUGCCCAAACUCAGCUACCUCGAUAGGACUCAUCAAGUGAGGACACUGAGCCUCAGGAAGGCAGGACGGAUUCUUCCAAGGAUAUGCUGCUGCUGCUGCUGCUGCGUCGCUUCAGUCGUGUCCGACUCUGUGCGACCCCAUAGACGGCAGCCCACCAGGCUCCCCUGUCCCUGGGAUUCUCCAGGCAAGAACACUGGAGUGGGUUGCCAUUUCCUUCUCCAGUGCAUGAAAGUGAAAAGUGAAAGUGAAGUGGCUCAGUUGUCUCCGACUCUUAGCGACCCCAUGGACUGCAGCCUUCCAGGCUCCUCUGUCCAUGGGAUUUUCCAGGUUAUCAUCAUCUGUCAGAUCUGAACUUAAACAACAAGAAACAUGUCAGGCUCUGCUGCAGCAAGGGGGAACACUAGGGCAGAAAGAGGCUGAAACUGAGGACCAGGCUGGUAAGAAGAUUGACAGUGACAGUGAAAACGAUCAAGACUCUGUCUGCCAAGUUUGCAGGUUCCUAUUCCACUCUCUCCUGAUUUCCAAGGCUCGGUUUCUGAGCGCCUAUAGGCAGAAAGAAGAGUUGAGGAGCCCGGAAUGUUCACCAGUAUUGCAUUUCUUCCAACCAACGUUUCUGCGUAUACAUCAGUGCCAGCGGACUGGCUUGCUGCGAGGCAGGUGGCCGCGGCAGAACCGGUUGGGAUGAGUUACGGCACCACCUCGGAUUCUGGGAUUCCCGCACUACUUUGCGGCUCUUCCUGCGCUCCAGAGCGCUCCUUUGAAACGAGCGCAAAAGGCACAAAUUUUGAGUAGCUAAACUCGUUUGCCCGAGACAGCAGCGCUUAGACAGACAAGCCGGGAGCGGAGAGCUUGCCUUGCUCCCCGUGGGUACGCUGCCAAAGUGGCGCUUGAUCGUUAGUGAAAAAAAAAAAAGACGGAGCGAUAUGGCUCAGUCCGGCGUUUGCAGGGGGAAGCAGACGAUUGCGAGUGAAGGCCCCAUGAGUCCAGCUCCGCCUGGACUACGCGGCUCCCCACCUCUGGCGGCCGCGGCUCCUGUUCCCCAGGACGUGCUCGCAGUUCCAACCUCUAAUCCUAGUCCUCAGCUGGCGCAGGCUGGCUGAAGGAUCGCGCAACUAGGCGGAAUGUGUUGACUCCAUCCUCCAGGGGAAUUCAGAUUGGACUGAAAGGAAAAAAUUUCCCAGACCUGGGCAGCAGCAGUCGCCGAUGAAACUGACCUUCAUGACACUGACCAGAGAUAAACCUCUUGGCAUGAGACAGCCUGGCACACCACUGAUCACUCGGUUGGGGACUAGGGACAAGCAGCCCACUACCACGAAAUUUACCAGCGUGUACUUAAAGAGAAAACCCGAGAUGCCUAAAACAGAUGGGUGCACAACAGAACACUGUUCACUGUUAACCGACCACCUGAAACCGUUCUCAGUGAGGCUACCCUGAAAUUAACUUGACUGGGUGAAAGGAACCAGAAUGAAAUCCACCUGCCUGUUAACACAGCCACUUACCCACAGCAAGAGAUUGGAGCAGAGGCUGAAGAGUGCGGCGGGGUGGAGCCGGGAGGGGGCUAGUCUCUGGGUGCUCCUGAGAACCUGACUGGUGCCGCUGCGGGGAUUGGGGGAGGGGGUUGUCCAGUGCUUUUUAAUUUACGACCGCCGCGCCCCAAGCCAUCCCAUAAAUUUGGGGGCCGUUUUCACCAAAGCUGUGAGUUACGAUUUUUCAAAUAAAUACAUUUUCCAAUCAGACGGGGUUCUGUUUAGGUUGAACGCGUCCUGAAGCAGACAUCUCUCUGCGCGGAACAUACACAGAGGAGGAAGCGGGGCCGGGGCGAAGCUCAGACGACAUAAAAACUUGUGUAAACACGUUGUCAUUUACGGACUUCGGAAGAGAAAGGGAAUGGGAGAGGAAAAUGUUUAAUUCUCCCUUGAAUCCUGGGGUUCCAGACCCGAGGGAAAACGUGGAAAUUUUAAUAUUCUUUUUCCAUAAGCUUGAUUUGUGUUAGGCAUUGGACAAUGGGCAGCAUCAGGUUUACCUUAAAUAGAUUCCGUAAUUUUGAGGCUGUUACAAACCUAAGAAUGGACAGAGUUUCAUUCCCCCACCCCCCACGCACACACACACCGCACACUCUUAGUU
ensembl:lncRNA